AUUGAACGCUGGCGGCAUGCCUUACACAUGCAAGUCGAACGGCAGCACGGGAGCAAUCCUGGUGGCGAGUGGCGAACGGGUGAGUAAUAUAUCGGAACGUGCCCAGUCGUGGGGAUAACGUAGCGAAAGCUACGCUAAUACCGCAUACGAUCUAUGGAUGAAAGCGGGGGAUCGCAAGACCUCGCGCGAUUGGAGCGGCCGAUAUCAGAUUAGGUAGUUGGUGAGGUAAAGGCUCACCAAGCCGACGAUCUGUAGCUGGUCUGAGAGGACGACCAGCCACACUGGGACUGAGACUACGGCCCAGACUCCUACGGGAGGCAGCAGUGGGAAUUUUGGACAAUGGGCGCAAGCCUGAUCCAGCAAUGCCGCGUGCUAGGAUGAAGGCCUUC
rnacentral:rRNA from 1 species